GAGCACCUUGGAUCCCCGCAGCGGUAGAAUAAACGAUUCUGUAAUACCCCCUCAAUGUGAGACUCGCCAGCCCCCCCAGACAUUAUCGUUAACCUCGAGCAUGAGUUAAUAUUAAGUUGUACAGAUAUAUAAAACGUCGUGGAGAGUUCAGCAGUGCCGCAAGGCCUUCGGAAUUGCUACCAGUGCUACCUGUCCUCGCUCGAGCAUUUCGAGCGUGACAAUCGCGUUUGCAUAUUCCACCAGAUAUAUAUUAUUCUCGUCGAGUCUACCUCGAGUGUGUGCGCGUGUGUGUGUGUGUGUGUGUGCGUGUGUGUGAGCAAUAUCAACCGGUACAUAUACUGAAUUAUACGCGCUGGACGCUGACGUAGAAUGGAGGAAAUAUCAUGAAAAAGAUGUUAAACUUCAUAAAUUGAGCGGUUCGGUACAAAUGUGGGUCUCCCAGCCGCGGAACAAUCUUCGCAUUCUUUCGUAUAUUAUUUUUAUCAUUGCUCCGACACGCUACGACGAAUGUCAAAGAGAAAAUGAAACACGCCAACGCUGCAUUCGCGGGGCUCGAUGAAUGGCUGCGCACGACGAUCCGUCGACUGUGUGAGCGAUCGCAGGGUCGCUUUACAACGCGAGAAACCUGUGAAAAAUAGUUCAUUUACAAUUCGCUUUCGAGAGUAAAUUUGAGCCUCUUUUCCGGAUAAAUAUCUUGGUGGAAACGAAGUUAUUAAUACAAACGUGUGCUGCAUAGUGCAAGACGAGCUGGCAGGCUGCACAACAGGUGUUUUCACGAGCGAGCAACAGGUAAUUCAAAGCUUCUCCCUCUCCCGAUUCAUCGCACAUGUUUCGCCGUCGAGCGCGAAGGGGACACGCGAGGAUCGAUCAGCCUUGUAUAAGGAAAAAACUCUUCCCGGAAAGCGCACAAUUGUCUUUGACGAAUUUAGCAAAAGUGUUGUUCUUGUGAGAAAGCGACGUGGAGCCUGGCGUUUUUCUAUCGUCAGUUGAUAAAUGGAGCGUUGAAAUGGUGCGGAAGGAGUCAAUGGUGAUUGGUCAUUUUUUUCGAAAAAUCGAGUUUCGUACGUGCGCUGAGGUGGCGCCACGCGAAGCGUCCGGCGAGAUCGGAGCCAAGAAAUGAGCACCUGCGGCUUUUUCCCAUCGGCAGAUGGGACUCGAUGCCUCCGGUUGAGUCCCUUUCUUCCUGGCUGCUCUGCUUCAAGCUUCAUCGUUCACCGGACCAAGAACAAUCACGAGUCGUGACGAAUCUCUCCAGACUUUGAAUCUUCCCUCAUUUUAUACAGAUUUAGCCGUGUCGUGUACCCAAGAAAUGUGCUUUAAAUUUAUUUCACAUUUUCAAGACUAUACUUUUUCUCGAUCCGAGAGGCGACGAAUAACGCGAAGGUAAUUUUACCGGUGGCAAAUGGACAGGAAGAGAUAAAAGACGCGGGAAUAAGAAAACGAAACGCGCUAAGAAACAGAGAGGGAGAAAAAGAACUGUGCGUAAAUAGCUAAAACGAAGGUUACGCUAUUACGACAAUAAACUCGGACAAAACAGACCGGAUCCAUCAUUCUGACUCACGAAUCCCGGCUGGAAGAACGCCUCGAGUCAUCCUUUUUAUAUGGAUCAUCAGUUUCUUUUUAUAUCUCUUCGAAAUUUCACCUCGCGUCUCACAAAAAAAAUUAAAAAGUCCACCAAAAAAGUAACGAAAAAUGAAAAAAAAAAAAAAAAAAAAAAUUAAAACGAUUAAUAACGAGAAAAAAAGCUCAAUGAGCGAGGCACAGAGAAAAAACGAUUCACGGUACGUCCGAGAGAAAAAGAACGUUUAUCACGAGACCGAGAGAAGAAAGACUAUGACGAAUUCAUGCAUUUGUGAACUAGUGAGUGACAAAGUACGUUGAACCUGUACCUGGCAAUGCGGUGAAUACGCUUUUCGUAAUUUUUUUUAAUUUCGUGUACGUGUGAAUGAGAAGCCAAAUCGAGAUUAAUUCAAUCGCACAACCGGCUCUGUAAUUUCUCAUUCCAUUGGAGUCUACUUUCUUUUCUUACCAGAAUUAUACAUUGUUGUAUCGUAAUUGUACCUUUACUUAUUGUCAGGAAAAUAUAUCAAGCCCCAGCGUUACCGGGCAUUAAGAAUUGA